UGAAUGAAUGUAUGUAUAUGAAUAUAUAGUUUGCAUGUAUGUGUGUGUGUAGUUUCACAUAAUAAUGACAUUUAUGUUGUAGAAAGUGUUCUGUUGUCUGUAAUAUUACCUAAACAAAACUGAUAAUAUAAUGUUUACAUAUCAAAUGCACGCAAGGACAGAAGAGGUUUUUAAGAGAUUGUAAAGGACGACAUUUUUUACUUUAAGUGAUGUUGCUGAAGGAAGAACAUUUCAAGAAGACAUAACUUAAUGUCGCCAUCAUUCUAUGAAAAGACAGCAAGACAUUUUUAUUAAAAUUUAAUUCUAAGGUUUGAUAUGGGCAGCUGCUGUACCAAACUAAUAGAAGGAAAGGUGACAGCUGUCUCUCAUUUCAAAAUGAAACGUGGGACUAAGCCGGAAGAGAAAGAAAUGGAUUCGGAGCUAUUGAAACUAUCAGAUGUGAAAGCAGCGCUGUUGAUUCAGAAAUGGUUCCGUGUUUGGUCGAGUAAGCUGAGAGUCAGAAGAGAAAUAGCCUGGAAUGUAUUUCAAGAAAUUGAAUAUUUCGGUGAACAACAUCAAUUAAAGUUGAGUAAAAUGUUUAAAGUUUUGAUAGAAGAAUUCCAAGACACAGCAAAAGUGGAUUUUAUUCAACAAAAGCUGAGCAACAAGGCCGCCGCCAGCAGUCCUUCAUUCAUCGAUGUAGACAUUUCUUUAAAAGAACUUGAAAUUCCACAAAUUAUUCCAAACAAUUAUGUUGGCAUCGUGAUCACACUACCUUAUUCAUCUAAUAAAUUGCAGAUUCUGGUCGAUGAUUUCAGAUGUGGCAAAAUAAUCCAUGCUGCAUAUGUUUCACAAAUAUUGAGGGACACGAUUUUAAAACUGAAAUCUCGAAAUAAUUUGUAUCAUAUAACAACAACUUCUGUAACCAAGAAGGUGACUAUUAUUGGAGACUUACAUGGAAGUUUGGAUGAUCUGCUUACCAUAUUUCACAAAAAUAACCUUCCUUCUACAACAAACCCUUAUAUUUUUAAUGGAGACAUCGUCGAUAGAGGACCCAAGUGUGUUGAAGUGUGCAUGAUUAUAUUUUACUGUAUUUUGGUGUUUCCUAAUCACGUAUUCUUGAACAGAGGAAACCAUGAAGAUCCUAUUAUAAACAGGAGAUAUGGUUUCAUAAAAGAAAUUACUCAAAAAUUUAGAAUUUACGCAAAAAGACUUCUCAAGUUGUUCAGUAUAGCAUUUAAAUAUCUACCAUUGGGUUCAAUCAUCGAUAAUAAAAUAUUGGUUGUACAUGGAGGAAUAUCGGAUGAGUUAGAUUUAAAGAAAAUCAAUGCAAUUCCAAGACAAAAAUUUAUUUCAAUCAUAAAACCAGGUGCAUAUCUUGAGGUAAAUGAGAAAUAUAACUGGGAAUACUUGGUCAAUCUUCUUUGGAGUGAUCCGUCAAACCAAAUGGGUUGCUCUGAAAAUGAAUUUAGGGGAAGUGGAAAAUAUUUUGGACCUGAUGUUACAAGUAAUUUCUUAGAGAAGAACAGUCUUGUACUUCUAAUAAGAUCUCACGAAUGUAAAGUGAAUGGCUACGAGUACACACACAACAACCAAGUGUUAACCAUUUUCUCUGCAUCCAACUAUUACGUACGAGGAAGCAAUAAAGGCGCUUUUGUAAUAUACCGUGGUGACGAAAAAAAAUUGACUAUCAUCCCGUUUGUCAGCAAUGAAGAGGCGUUAAAUAAUUUGAACAUAAAAGAUCAGAUAAUUUCGUUGGAAACUUCCGCAUUCAGCAAAAUAAAGCAAAUGAUUAGUUUGAAACUUCCAGAGCUCAAAGAGGCACUUAGUGAAUACGAUAAGGAUGGAACUGGAACUGUAAGUACCAAAGACUUCAGCACAUGUUUGAGUGCAGUGCUGAAGCUGAAACUGCCAUGGCGUUUAAUCAUUCACAAAAUCUGUGAUGUCGAUAGCAACAACAUGGUGCAUUACGAAGAGACUUUUAAGAUAUUGGAUUUCUCAAGGUCAUCCCAACACCCAAUCGCAGACAUUGUGUAUGCUAACAGAGAGAUCUUGGAGACCAUAUUUCGAACAUUUGAUGUUGAUAAUUCUGGAGCAAUUACGAUGCAAGAAUUUAAGGAUGGCAUGAUGAUUCUUCAAAAAUGUACCAGCCAUGUGUUUAAAGAAAGUGAUAUUGCUAAAAUGGGGAAAACUAUGGACUUUGAUAAAGAUGGUAACAUUGACAUUAAUGAAUUUUUUGAGGCUUUUCGCAUAUCUGCAUAUACGUGGUAAUUAAAACAACAUAACAGAUUGGAACCAGUAUUCCAGAGAGCAAAAAGUAAAAAAUAUCUUUUUCUUAAAUUUUCUCAAUUAAUCUUAACGCGAUGC
rnacentral:misc_RNA from 1 species